AUUGAACGCUGGCGGCAUGCCUAACACAUGCAAGUCGAACGCGAGGCGGACGGGUGAGUCAUGUAUGGGCACCUGCCCGAUGGAGGGGGAUAACUACUGGAAACCGUAGCUAAUACCGCUUACCACAGUAUGUGCCCCGAUGGGAUUAGCGAGGCGGUGGGGUAACGGCUCACAUAGUAGACGAUCCCUAGCGGGUCCGCGAGGCUUACCAGCCACACUGGAACUGAGACACGGCCCAGACUCCUACGGGAGGCAGCAGUGGGGAAGAUUGCACAAUGGACGCAAGCCGGAUGCAGCAAUGCCGCGUGUAUGAAGAAGGCCUUCGGGUUGUAAAGUACUGUCAGCGAGGAGGCGUUACUCGCAGAGGAAGCACCGGCUAACUCCGUGCCAGCAGCCGCGGUAAUUC
rnacentral:rRNA from 1 species